rnacentral:rRNA from 1 species
CCUACGGGAGGCUGCAGUGGGGAAUAUUGCACAAUGGGGGAAACCCUGAUGCAGCGACGCCGCGUGAGUGAAGAAGUAUUUCGGUAUGUAAAGCUCUAUCAGCAGGGAAGAAAAUGACGGUACCUGACUAAGAAGCCCCGGCUAAAUACGUGCCAGCAGCCGCGGUAAGACGUAGGGGGCAAGCGUUAUCCGGAUUUACUGGGUGUAAAGGGAGCGUAGACGGCAGAGCAAGUAUGAAGUGAAAGCCCGGGGCCCAACUGCGGGACUGCUUUUGAAACUGCCCGGCUAGAGUGCUGGAGAGGUAAGCGGAAUGCCUGGUGUAGCGGUGAAAUGCGUAGAUAUUAGGCAGAACACCAGUGGCGAAGGCAGCUUACUGGACAGUAACUGACGUUGAGGCUCGAAAGCGUGGGGAGCAAACAGGAUUAGAUACCCCUGUAGUC